CAGUGUGAUUCGUCACACUAUCAUUAACUGAAUCCAUAGGUUAAUGAGGCGAACCGGGGGAACUGAAACAUCUAAGUACCCCGAGGAAAAGAAAUCAACCGAGAUUCCCCCAGUAGCGGCGAGCGAACGGGGAGGAGCCCAGAGCCUGAAUCAGCAUGUGUGUUAGUGGAAGCGUCUGGAAAGGCGCGCGAUACAGGGUGACAGCCCCGUACACAAAAGCGCAUGUGCUGUGAGCUCGAUGAGUAGGGCGGGACACGUGGUAUCCUGUCUGAAUAUGGGGGGACCAUCCUCCAAGGCUAAAUACUCCUGACUGACCGAUAGUGAACCAGUACCGUGAGGGAAAGGCGAAAAGAACCCCGGCGAGGGGAGUGAAAAAGAACCUGAAACCGUGUACGUACAAGCAGUGGGAGCCCCACCACCAAAGCAUUCUCUGGUGUUGAAGGCCCUGCAAAGCAGCAUCGCGGUGGCGGAGCGUCGUUUGCGACGCCCAACACACAAAACAAGCGGUGAGUGCUUUGGGGUGGGGUGACUGCGUACCUUUUGUAUAAUGGGUCAGCGACUUAUAUUUUGUAGCAAG
rnacentral:rRNA from 1 species